rnacentral:rRNA from 1 species
UGGGAAAUUUUGGACAAUGGGCGCAAGCCUGAUCCAGCAAUGCCGCGUGCAGGAUGAAGGUCUCCGGGUUGUAAACUGCUUUUGUACGGAACGAAAAGGCUCUGGUUAAUGCCUGGGGCUCAUGACGGUACCGUAAGAAUAAGCACCGGCUAACUACGUGCCAGCAGCCGCGGUAAUACGUAGGGUGCAAGCGUUAAUCGGAAUUACUGGGCGUAAAGCGUGCGCAGGCGGUUAUGUAAGACAGAUGUGAAAUCCCCGGGCUCAACCUGGGACCUGCAUUUGUGACUGCAUAGCUAGAGUACGGCAGAGGGGGAUGGAAUUCCGCGUGUAGCAGUGAAAUGCGUAGAUAUGCGGAGGAACACCGAUGGCGAAGGCAAUCCCCUGGGCCUGCACUGACGCUCAUGCACGAAAGCGUGGGGAGCAAACA